rnacentral:rRNA from 1 species
CAGCUCUUCAAGUGGUCGGGAAUUUUAUUGGGCUUAAAGUGUCCGUAGCCGGUUUGAAAAGUUCCUGGUUAAAUCUGGUAGCUUAACUAUCAGUCAGCUAGGAAUACUAUCUUACUAGAGGGUGGGAAAGGCUUGGGGUACUCCGGGGGUAGCGGUGAAAUGCGAUAAUCCUCGGGGGACCACCAGUGGCGAAGGCGCCAAGCUGGAACACGCCUGACGGUGAGGGACGAAAGCCAGGGGAGCGAACGGGAUUAGAUACCCGAGUAGUCC